rnacentral:rRNA from 1 species
UUCCGGUUGAUCCUGCCGGACCCGACUGCUAUUUGGGUGAGGAUAAGCACGCGAGUUGAAUGGGAAACCUAAAAAUCCCAUGGCAAACUGCUCAGUAACACAUGAUCAACUUACCCUAUAGAGGAAAAUAACCUCGGGAAACUGAGGAUAAUGUUCCAUAGUUGAAUUGGCUUGGAAAAGUUUUUCAAUAAAAGGGAUAAGGAAAAUGGUUCUUAUCUGCUAUAGGAUAGGAUCGUGCUCGAUUAUGGUUGUUGGUGAGGUAAAGGCUCACCAAGCCGAUAAUCGAUAGGGGCCGUGAGAGCGGGAGCCCCGAGAUGGGUACUGAGACAACGACCCAGGCCUUACGAGGCGCAGCAGGCGCGAAACCUCCGCAAUACACGAAAGUGUGACGGGGUUACCCAAAGUGUUCUAUUUAGAACUGUGGUAGGUGAGUAAUGUUCCCUACUAGAAAGGGGAGGGCAAGGCUGGUGCCAGCCGCCGCGGUAAAACCAGCUCUUCAAGUGGUCGGGAUAAUUAUUGGGCUUAAGGUGUCCGUAGCCGGUUUAGUAAGUUCCUGGUAAAAUCGGGUAGCUUAACUAUCUAUAUGCUAGGAAUACUGCUAUACUAGAGGGCGGGAGAGGUCUGAGGUACUACAGGGGUAGGGGUGAAAUCUUAUAAUCCUUGUAGGACCACCAGUGGCGAAGGCGUCAGACUGGAACGCGCCUGACGGUGAGGGACGAAAGCCAGGGGAGCGAACCGGAUUAGAUACCCGGGUAGUCCUGGCCGUAAACGAUGCAUACUAGGUGAUGGCACGGCCAUGAGCCGUGUCAGUGCCGUAGGGAAACCGUUAAGUGUGCCGCCUGGGAAGUACGGUCGCAAGGCUAAAACUUAAAGGAAUUGGCGGGGGAGCACCACAAGGGGUGAAGCCUGCGGUUCAAUUGGAUUCAACGCCGGG